UUACGGUUCCGGGUCCGGCCGCGCCGCAGCCAGCUCUCGGCUCGCAGCCGCAGCGCCCCGCCCCCGCGCUCCGGACCUGGCAGGCGGCGGCUGCAGGGCCGGUCCCUGGGCCACAUGGCUGAGGGGGACGCAGGGAGCGACCAGAGGCAGAAUGAGGAAAUUGAAGCAAUGGCAGCCAUUUAUGGCGAGGAAUGGUGUGUCAUUGACGACUGUGCCAAAAUAUUUUGUAUUAGAAUUAGCGACGAUAUAGAUGACCCCAAAUGGACGCUUUGCUUGCAGGUGAUGCUGCCAAAUGAAUACCCAGGUACAGCUCCACCUAUCUACCAGUUGAAUGCUCCUUGGCUUAAAGGGCAAGAACGUGCGGAUUUAUCAAAUAGCCUCGAGGAAAUAUAUAUACAGAAUAUCGGUGAAAGUAUUCUUUACCUGUGGGUGGAGAAAAUAAGAGAUGUUCUAAUACAAAAAUCUCAGAUGACAGAACCAGGCCCAGAUGUAAAGAAAAAAACUGAAGAGGAAGAUGUUGAAUGUGAAGAUGAUCUCAUUUUAGCAUGUCAGCCAGAAAGUUCGGUUAAAGCACUGGAUUUUGAUAUCAGUGAAACUCGGACAGAAGUAGAAGUAGAAGAAUUACCUCCGAUUGAUCAUGGCAUUCCUAUUACAGACCGAAGAAGUACUUUUCAGGCACACUUGGCACCAGUAGUUUGUCCCAAACAGGUGAAAAUGGUUCUUUCCAAAUUGUAUGAGAAUAAGAAAAUAGCUAGUGCCACCCACAACAUCUAUGCCUACAGAAUAUAUUGUGAGGAUAAACAGACCUUCUUACAGGAUUGUGAGGAUGAUGGGGAAACAGCAGCUGGUGGGCGUCUUCUUCAUCUCAUGGAGAUUUUGAAUGUGAAGAAUGUCAUGGUGGUAGUAUCACGCUGGUAUGGAGGGAUUCUACUAGGACCAGAUCGCUUUAAACAUAUCAACAACUGUGCCAGAAACAUACUAGUGGAAAAGAACUACACAAAUUCACCUGAGGAGUCAUCUAAGUCUUUGGGAAAGAACAAAAAAGUAAGAAAAGACAAGAAGAAGAAUGAACAUUAAUACCUGAAACUAUAGGAAAGGUGUGAUCUCCAUUCCUCUGUACAUCCCUCACAUGCUGUUCGAAUGGGAUUUUGGAAAGGGAAUCUGUGUAUUUUGGCUCACUACUGACUAUCUUUUAUGUACAGCAUCUGUAUACAACAUUGUCCUCAUCAGCUAUGAUCGAUACCUGUCAGUCUCAAACGCUGUGUCUUAUAGAACUCAACAUACUGGGAUCUUGAAGAUUGUCACUCUGAUGGUGGCCGUUUGGGUGCUGGCCUUCUUAGUGAAUGGGCCAAUGAUUCUAGUUUCAGAGACUUGGAAGGAUGAAGGUAGUGAAUGUGAACCUGGAUUUUUUUCGGAAUGGUACAUCCUUGCCAUCACAUCAUUCUUGGAGUUCCUGAUCCCAGUCAUCUUAGUUGCUUAUUUCAACACGAAUAUUUAUUGGAGCCUGUGGAAGCGUGAUCAUCUCAGUAGGUGCCAAAGCCAUCCUGGACCGACUGCUGUCUCUUCCAACAUCUGUGGACAGUCAUUCAGAUGUGGACUCUCUUCAAGGGGAUCUCUUUCUGCAUCGACAGAAAUGCCUGUGUCCCUUCAUUCAGAGAGACAGAGGAGAAAGAGCAGUCUCAUGUAUUCCUUAAGAACCAAGAUGAAUAGCAAUAGAAUUGCUUCCAAAAUGGGUUCCUUCUCCCAAUCAGAUCCUGUAGCUCUUCACCAAAGGGAGCAUGCUGAACUGCUUAGAGCCAGGAGAUUAGCCAAGUCACUGGCCAUUCUCUUAGGAGUUUUUGCUGUUUGCUGGGCUCCGUAUUCUCUGUUCACAAUUGUUCUUUCAUUUUACUCCUCAGAGACAGGUCCUAAAUCAGUUUGGUACAGAAUUGCAUUUUGGCUUCAGUGGUUCAAUUCCUUUGUCAAUCCCCUUUUGUAUCCAUUGUGUCACAAGCGCUUUCAAAAGGCUUUCUUGAAAAUAUUUUGUAUAAAAAAGCAACCUCUACCAUCACCACACAAUCGGUCAGUAUCUUCUUAAAGACAAUUUUCUCACUUCUGUAAAUUUUAGUCUCAAUCUCACCUAAAUGGAUUAGGUCUGCCCUUUAUCUUGCCCUUUUCAUUCUACCAACAGAUCUGCACUUUGAAGUCAAUGGAAAAUUACUCCAGUGAAUAAUAGCAGUAUAAUUAUGACUUGAUAAUAUUUUUAUAAACUUGUAGUCAUAAUAGUACUAUAUUCUUCUUAGUCUUCACCUCUUCCUUGUCUUUUAGAUCUUUAUAUCAUGCUGAUUACAAAAAUCCAGUUUUGUUUUCUAUGUUCCAUGUAUAAUACAAUCUUAAGUGAAUUUCUCUUUUUUAUUUUAUAGUAACAGAAACUUACCCAGUUUGAAAAUCAUUCCCUAAAGCAUGCAAUAGGAAAAAGAACUUCCUGGCUGGUACUGCCCAAUUCUGUUCUGAUCAGUGGGUGGGUGAGGUAGGGUUUGAGUUGGCAAGAGCAGGGAAGGGGGAUGUGCCAGGUGAGCUCCUGUGUGUAUCCAGAUUUUAUAUUCCUAAUCCCAGUAAGGAAGAAAGCGUAGCAUGGGAGAGGAAAGAGUUGAUGACGGCAGCUCUCAAAGGUCCUCAGUAAAGUUAUUUUGGAGGCCCUGAUGGUCACAGGAUCAGAAGGCAAGGGAUAGGCAAUUGUCACCAAUGGUUGAAAGUAUGGCUUGUCCCAUUUCUUCCUGUUCUCUUCUUCCAGCUUCCACAUCAGCUUCCUUUUGUGAGAAAAUAUGGAAGAGGAAGGCUAAGAGAUGGUGAAGGGACUACAUGAUUUAACUAGAUAGACCUUGUGUACAGUCACUAAACUAGUAGAUGUCAAUAAUUAUUAUUUUUAAAAAAUUUUAUUUGUUGACUGGUCAUGGUGGCUCACGCCUAUAAUCCCAGCACUUUGGGAGGCCAAGACAGGUGGAUCAUGAGGUCAGGAGAUCUGGACCAUCCUGGCCAACAUGGUGAAACCCCAUCUCUACUAAACUACAAAAAAUUGGGUGGGUGUGGUGCUACAUGCCUGUAGUCCCAGCUACUCGGGAGGCUGAGGCAGGGGAAUCGCUUGAAUCUGGGAGGCAGAGGUUGCCAGCCUGGCGACAGAGCAAGACUUUGUCUAAAAAGAAAACAAAACAAAACUAUUUGUUUAAAACAGCAUACAGCAUCUUGCUCUGUCUCCCAGGCUGGAGUGUAGCAAUGCAAUCAUAGCUCACUGUGGCCUUGAACUUCUUGGCUCAAGCAAUCCUCCUGCCUCGGCCUCCCAAGUAUGUAGGACUACAGGUACUCGCCACCACACCUGGAUAAUUAAAAAAAUAUUUUUGUAGAGAUGAAGUCUCACUGUGUUGCCCAGGUUGGAUGUCAAUAAUUAUUAAAAAAAAAUUUUUUUUUUUAAGUUUUUUUGAGACAGACUCUUGCUCUGUCACCCAGGCUGGAGUGCAGUAGCGUGAUCAGGGGUCACUGCAAUCUCUGCCUCCCAGGUUCAAGCAAUUCUUGUGCCUAAGCCACCUGAGUAGCUGGGAUUACAGGUGCAUGCCACCAUGCCUGGCUAAUUUUGGUAUUUUUAGUAGAGAUGAGGUUUUGCCAUGUUGGCCAAGCUGGAAUUUUUUUUUUUUUAUUUUGAUAAGACAGGGUCUUGCCAUGUUGGUCAGCCUGGUCUCAAACUCCUGGGCUGAAAGAACCCUCCCACCUUGGCCUCCCAAAGUGCCUGGAUUAUGGGCACAAACCACCACAAUAAUUAUUGCCUGGAUGUCAAUUAUUAUUUUAAAAUGUUGUUGUAUUUAUUUAAUGUUUUUAAUGCAUGUGCCCAAUAUUUUACAUUGCACUGCUCAGAGAUAUUCCUUUAUUAUGUAGUUAGUAUAGAUUAUACUUUACAGAUGAUUCACAUUUUAUUAGUUUGGUAAUGUUUUGUCCUUUUUAAAAAUUUUCUUUUGAGAUGGGGUCUUGCUCUAUUGCCCAUGCAGGAGUGCAGUGGCAUGCUCUCAGCUCACUGCAGCCUUGACUGCCUGGGCUCCAGCAAUCCUCCUACUUCAGCCUCCGGAGUAGCUAGGACCAUAGGCACUUGCCACGACACCCCACUAAAAAAAUUUUAAAUUGUUCUCUUUCUUGUAAUGUUCUCUGCCUGUCUUUGUCACAAAAUUUCAUUUUUCUCAUAGUUAAUUUUAUCUCUCCAAUAAGAUGUUAAUGGUUUUUCUUUUAUAACUUUGCAGUUCUUACACCGUUUAGUCAUUUUCAUGUUUCUUAGAAACUUUAAACCUUUGAUUAACUUCAAACAUUAAAAGACAAAAGUCUUUUAAGUGCAUGAGUGUUUAGAAAUGUACAUAAUGUUUAUAUACCCUUAUGCCUUAUUAAAGUUCAAUAUGAGAAAUAUGUGUUUAACGUUCAAUAAUAAUUUGAAAAAUUUGAGAAGUAAACUCUCAUAAAUGCA